rnacentral:rRNA from 1 species
UACGUAGGGGGCAAGCGUUGUCCGGAAUCAUUGGGCGUAAAGCGCGUGUAGGCGGCCCGAUAAGUCCGCUGUGAAAGUCCAGGGCUCAACCCUGGGAUGCCGGUGGAUACUGUCGGGCUCGAGUCCGGAAGAGGAGUGUGGAAUUCCUGGUGUAGCGGUGAAAUGCGCAGAUAUCGAGAGGAACACCUGCGGCGAAGGCGGGUUGCUGGGCCGACACUGACGCUGAGGCGCGAAAGCUAGGGGAGCGAACGGG